AUAGGACUGAGACUGGAGAGCCUGGCUGAGCAAGGAAGAGGACCCAGGAACCUUUGUCCCAGUGAGAGAGGCUGAGGAGUACGUACCAAGGGACAGUUUGUGAGACUCUGCCCCUCCCUCCCCACUGCUGAUAUAACAGCAUGAAAUUAAACCUAUUCCAGUCUGUGACAUCUGAUCCCUUUGACAUGACAUAGUACAACCUGUAGAGCCAGAGGUGGGGGCCAGGAAGCCCUGUUCUAGUCUCUCUGCACAACCUUGAGCCAUCUCAUCAUCUGCACAUCUGCCUGAACCUCAGUCUCCCACUCUGGACGUUGUCGGGGUGAUGGAGCAAGCAUUCAGUUAUUCUCUGCUGGAUUCUGAUGUGGUCUAAAGUCCACACUUUGUUGUGAAACACCGCAAUCUGUGAUGUACAGAACCUAUUACUGCGGCCACCCAGGAAUGCUGGGGGCAGGCCUUUUGAGAAGGUGAAUCAGCGUGUGUUAGCUCAGGGCAGAGGGCCUGGCGGUGAGACGUGAGAACAGCCAAUGUCAUGGCGGUGGGGGAGUGGACGUGAGCCAUCUGGGGCCCAGCAAACAGCAUGUUGAAAAAAACGAGGAACUCAAAGGCAGAUGAGCCUACCACGCUGGGAACAGUUGGGAGUACAUUGCUCAAGGGCUUGGAAUGGAGGGGGUGGAGUUGAGGAGAUCACAGAGGACCUAGGAGUGUGUGUAUCGGAGAGAGAUAGGAAACCACUGACCGUUCAGCACACAUUCAGAAUUACUGCCUGUCCCAGGGAGGGACCCACAGCUCCGGCGCUCCGUUCAGCAUCUGGAAGAGCAUAGCUCGCUGUGAGCGGCCGCCCCAGAAGACUGUAUCCCACCCAGCCAGCUCUCCUGCCUGCUUGCCUCUGCCCCACACCAGGACACUUCAUACUGUCAGAACCACUGGGUGUGUGAGCUUGUGAGAGGGUGUGUGGGCACACAUGUCCCUGUGUGGGGUGUGGAGGUCAGAGGGCAACUUGGAGGAAUUGGUUCUCUCCUUCCACCACUGGGGCCCAGGAAUCAAGCCGAGGUUCCCAGACGUGGUAGCAGCCUCCCUUACCUGUUAAACCAGUGCUUCCCAGACUUCCUAAUGCUGUGACCUCAUGCUGUGCUGACCCCCGCCCAUGACAUUAUCUCUGUUGGUAUUUUAUAACUGUAAUUUUGCUACUAUUAUGAAUCACAAUGUAAAUGUCUGUUUUCUGAUGG
rnacentral:lncRNA from 1 species